GAUGAAGAACGUAGCGAAAUGCGAUAAGUAAUGCGAAUUGCAGAAUUUCCGUGAGUCAUCGAAUCUUUGAACGCACAUUGCGCCCCUUGGUAUUCCGAGGGGCAUGCCUGUUCGAGCGUCAUUAUAACCCCUCAAGCUCAGCUUGGUGUUGGGGCCUGCUGCACUGGCAGCCCUUAAAAUCAGUGGCGGCGCCAUCUGGCUCUAAGCGUAGUAAUUCUUCUCGCUAUGGAGUCCUGGUGGAUGCUUGCCAUCAACCCCCAAUUUUUCUAUGGUUGACCUCGGAUCAGGUAGGGAUACCCGCUGAACUUAAGCAUAUCAAUAAGCGGAGGA
rnacentral:misc_RNA from 1 species